AACGAACGCUGGCGGCAGGCUUAACACAUGCAAGUCGAGCGCCUCGCAAGAGGAGCGGCAGACGGGUGAGUAACGCGUGGGAACAUACCCAUCUCUGCGGAACGACUCCGGGAAACUGGAGCUAAUACCGCAUACGCCCUUUGGGGGAAAGAUUUAUCGGAGAUGGAUUGGCCCGCGUUGGAUUAGCUAGUUGGUGGGGUAAAGGCCUACCAAGGCGACGAUCCAUAGCUGGUCUGAGAGGAUGAUCAGCCACAUUGGGACUGAGACACGGCCCAAACUCCUACGGGAGGCAGCAGUGGGGAAUAUUGGACAAUGGGCGCAAGCCUGAUCCAGCCAUGCCGCGUGAGUGAUGAAGGCCUUAGGGUUGUAAAGCUCUUUCACCGGAGAAGAUAAUGACGGUAUCCGGAGAAGAAGCCCCGGCUAACUUCGUGCCAGCCGCCGCCGUAACAC
rnacentral:rRNA from 1 species